UGAACCAGGAUGAAGACUUUACUUCUAACACCAUCCUGGACAAGUGGUUGUCUAAUUUUUUCUUGAAAAAGUCCAGUGACGAAGGACCCACAACUCUGGGAGGCAAGCUGUUCCACUGAUUGUUGUCACUGUCAGGAAAUUCCUUCUUAUUUUCAGAUUGGAUCUCUCUCUGAGGAACUUCCACCCACCGCUUCCUAUCCUCACCUCAGGUGCUUUGGAGAAAAAAUGGAUGCUCCCUUCCCUGUGAUAGCUCUUCAGAAAGAAACCCCUGCACGUGCAAAUAUAUAUGUAUCGGUGGAAUUUGGGAAGAACCAAGAAAUUGCCAGCCUUCCAGCUACAAUAGAAUAUUUAUCCUACAAGGAGCACACAGGCAGAAUUCAGAUCUGUUCCUUGAAUGGCAGCUAUACUUUUCUUCACCUAUAAUCUGUCACAUCAUCCCAUCAUA